CACAGGACUACAUGCUAUGAAGAAGCUGAGAAAACGAAGAGACACCAGGGGUCCUGCACACAGAGCAAAGGCCGUGUGAGGACACAGUGGGAAGAUAGUUGUCUACAAGCCAAAGAGAGAGGCCUCAAGAGAAACCAGCCCUGCCAACACCCGGAACUGUCCGCUCCUGUUAUGCCAACGUUCAAUGUGUCGCCACAUCUAUCUCUGAAGUCAAAGGUGAAGGCAGUGCAUCAGAGGAACUAAACACAUUGGCUCUUAACUCUACCCACUUCCCUAAGUCACUGCCGCCUUCAUAUAACAGGACAGACGCCACCUCUUUCUCAGAAGGUUACUGUGAGCCUUGAAUGAGACGAUGCGCACAGCAGGUGUACUGAGCGCUACCACAUAGCACGUCGCUUUUCACAUUAUUACUUUCACUUCCUACAACAGCCAUUAUUCUGCGCUUGGAUUGCUGCCCAGGGGUGCUGUCUUCCCUCCAGCUAACUAACCCCAGAACUCUUCAUUCAAGCCAUGCUCCGAUUUAAUUCUCUCCCACGUCUCUAACCCUCUAACGGGUCACCUUUCUCUUUCCUGUGGCACCCCAAGUGCACUGGGGAAGAAAUGAAGGAUUCAACACUCUCAAACUUUCCUCUUAUUUCAUACUUUGUUUUUGUUUUUA